rnacentral:rRNA from 1 species
GGCUCAGAGCGAACGCUGGCGGCGUGCCCUAACACAUGCAAGUCGAACGGAAGGCUUUCGGGCUGGUACCGUGGCGCACGGGUGAGUAACGCGUGGGUAAUCUGCCCCUUGGCGGGGAUAACCGUCCGAAAGGAUGGCUAAUACCGCAUAAGACCGAGGCGACGGGAGUUGCCCUGGGGUGAAAAGGGAGCGCAAGCUUCCACCGAGGGAAGAGCCUGCGUCCCAUUAGCUAGUUGGCGGGGUAAAAGCCCACCAAGGCAGAGAUGGGUAGCUGGUCUGAGAGGACGAUCAGCCACACUGGGACUGAGACACGGCCCAGACUCCUACGGGAGGCAGCAGUGGGGAAUAUUGCGCAAUGGGGGAAACCCCUGACGCAGCAACGCCGCGUGGGCGAAGAAGGCCUUCGGGUUGUAAAGCCCUGUCAGGUGGAACGAAAAGGCGUCCGUGAGAACAUCACGGGUGCGUGACGG